GCUGAAGUAGCUCAGCUGGGAGAGCGUUAGACUGAAGAUCUAAAGGUCCCUGGUUCAAGCCCGGGCUUCAGCA
rfam:Pygoscelis adeliae contig91151, whole genome shotgun sequence.